CAUAGCUAAGAGAAAAGCUUCUAGCCGCAUAACAGCUCGUCGUGCUCAUCCCAAUCGAUUUGAUAAGACUGAGAGAAAUUAGGCGUGGUCAUCAGAGUCUGAGUUAGAGGUCAAGUCAGAGAUGGACAUCAGCUAUUGUAGUCCAAGACGGAGAAGAAGCUGCAUCGCGGAGGCUUGUAUAAAUGGAUUGGACAUGUACCCCAUUCUUGCAUUCUGUCUCUUGCGUCUUCGAUUACGUAGCAGCUUCAGUCCUCAUAUCCUCGUUGGUAGCUCCAAUUUCUUGUUCACACUCUGACUGAUCUUAAUCAAUUCUACCCAGAUCCGGUGCCGUGGGUUCAGAAAACGUGUUCCGGCGAUUGGACGAUUUAGGUGCAGAAGCAAAUAGCCAGUGCGACUCUCCAUUCCGGGUCCGAUAUAUCGGUAACAUACCAAGCAACUUUCGGACGAAAUUUUGGAAAUUUUCCGAUAUAUCGCCGAAAUUAGCGAUAUUUCCGAAACUUCCGAAAUUUCUCAUGAUUUCUCUCCAUUCUUGCAUGAUUUCUCCUUUCUCAUGAUUUCUCUCCAAACUUCACACAUGCAACACAAGAUGAAGAUCAUGGGAGUAGGAGAGCAGGAUCGGGUAUUGGUGCUAUAGGAAAACACUAUACACCAAUGGAAAGAGGUCAAGGAAGCAUGUCAAGGCAUGAAGAUGAUUUUUAUCUCCCACUUUUGACUCAUUUGGUGUGGGAGGAAGCAAUUAUGAACCUUACUCUUAUGGGCAAAACUUGGCAAUGCCUUAGCCAGCAUACAUGACGCCUUAUGAGAUGCAAUCAAGUGACAACUCAUGGACACAAUCUGAAGGACAAUCUUCAAAUGAUUAUGGUUAUGGCCAAAGUCAAGCAAUGCAUGAUCCCUACUAUAACUACCAGCACCAAAACCCGCAGCCAAUCCCCCCGGACCCAUAUGGUUGGCAUGUAAGUCAAUACAUGCAAAACUACAGAGGGGAGGUAUCAUUUAAUGACUAUUCUUCACAAUACACUCAAGACUCUACAUAUAGAGAUGAUGAAGAUAGUGAAGAUUUUGUACCUCAUAGGUCUUCUACGUGGGUCUAAGUUACUCAUGUAAUUCAAGGUGUAAUGUAUGAUAUGUAUAAAGAAUGUAUAUAAGGCGUGAUGGCCUAGCCUCCCAUUGGGUUUCCAGCCAUAAAAAAAAAAUUAGAUGUUUAUUUCAAAAAAUUUCUGAGUUGUCGACGAUUCAGCAAUGACCGUUGUAUGUUAAAUUAUAACAAAUUACUAUAUAACAAUGUUUAUUCAA